GAAGGAAGGAGCCGGACAGAAAGAAGCGCGUCUUAAGGACUGGGAAGAGGAGGAGGAGGAGGAGAGUCUCUUUCCAUGCCAGAGAUCGGGAGGGAAGGAACUGGAAGGGAAACGGCCAGUUCAGAGGACCUGCGAAGCUGCGCGUAGGGUUCUGGUCGCCUCGCCUCGGAAAAGAUAUUGUAGGGCUGGGGAAAGAUUUAGGGAAAAAAGGACACCCGAGAUGAUCCAGCGGGGGUGGGAGGGAGGGACUCCCCUACGAGGAAAAGUUGCAGCGUUGUGGACUUUAGUGGUUCCCAACCUUUUUUCGGCCUUGCCCCACCUAAGCAUCUCUAAAAUCCUGAUGCCUCCCCACCCCGUGACAAUUAAUUCUUAUUAUUCAAAAAGUGAACUCCUAUUCACGUGGAGGAAGCCUAAAAGGCCAUUAACUUGGUCUAAACAAGCUUCCAAGUUGCCCCCCUUAAAAAUCAAAUUGCCCCCCCGUAUUUUUUUUAAAUAUAGGUAUGUGCGGGUUUUGUUUAUUUCAGGGUGGUUUGUUUGUUUGUUUGUUUGUUGUUGUUAAAUGACUUUGAGUCGCCUUUGGCAAGAGAAAGCAACCCAUAAAGUCAGUAAAUAAUAAUGCAUUUAAAAGGUGAUGCUACUGACUAAUAUCAAGAUGAAGGUCUAUCAGGCACACUGCUUUAUGGAAGUGAAUGAUGGGCAACUUAAAUACCCUCCGAGAGCCACACCUCAACGCCUGCCACACCUCAACGCCUGUCACGUGCACUGCGUCAGGAAGCUUUUGGGCAUUGCGUGGCAGGGCAGAGUCUCACUGAAAGAUGAGCUCUUGCAAGCCCACGUUAUGUUUGCACUCCUGUCUGCGCUGGCUUGGUCAGGUCCACAAAAUGGAGGGUCCCCAAGGACGUGCUCCACGGGGAGCUGGCUUCAAGCACCAGGCCUGAUGGCAGAUGAACUCUGUGUUACAAAGAUGCCUGCAAAUGUGACGCGAAGGCUGGCAACAUUAAUCCCACUCUGUGGGAAUCCCUUGCAGAUUAUCACAGUGGCUGGAGACAGGUCGUCUGGCCACAGCAGUGACCAGAGGAGGGAUGACCGCUGGGAGGAGAGCAGAAAGAAUAAAUGCCAUGGUACACCUACGUCAACACAACCGGAAGCCUUCAUCUGCCCCAGCUGCAACAAAACAUGUCUCUCCCAUAUCAAUCUCUACAGCCUUAGUAGGCACUGGAUGGUUUGACGUCACUCCCAAAGGUACAUUCUUCCAUUUUCUCCUGAGACAGAUGGAUGCCAACUAGACAUUUAUAAAAUUAUGCAUGGCAUGAAGAAAGUGGCUAGGAAAAGUUUUUCUCUUUCUCUCCUAACACUGGAACUCAUAGACAUCCAAUGAAGCUGAAUGCUGGAAGAUUCAAGACAAAUAAAAUAAUUGGAGACAUGAUUGGAGACAGUGAUUAUUCUGAAUAUCAGUUGCUGGUAUUCCAUGAAGGCAUGUCUCCCUCCUUUUUACUCAUGACUUCGCACCCCACACCUUUCACUCAUGGGUUCACACUUGUAACUAAUCCCAUAAAUUGGUACACCUUUCAGUUAUAGGUUGGGUUUUUUGUGUGUGUGUGUGUUCAGUAUUUUGUAUGCAAGGUUCUGCCACAACCAUAUAUGAUGCCAGUUUAAUGUAGAACUUCUUAACCCGAAGCACCACUUUAGCUAAUGGGGCCUUCUGCUGCUGCCGCGCCACCGGAGCACAAUUUCUGUUCUCAUCCUGAAGCGAAGUUCUUAACCUGAAGCAAUAUUUCUGGGUUAGCGGAGUCUGUAACCUGAAGCGUAUGUAACCCGAGGUACCACUGUAAUGUACAUUUUGAGUAGAAGGGAGGGGGUAAGAGUAACAAUGCAACAGAGGGACAGAAGAAAUAAAAGAAGUGAAAGUGGAAAGACCUAGGCUUUUCUUCAGUUGAGGAUGUAGACAAGCCAAAUGCAGUCAAGGAAGGCAGAGAGCUGGUGAGGGGUGGUGCCUAUGGAGAGUCACAAGAACUGACUAGAGAGGGAUGGAGGACUGAAUCUGGCCCCUGGUCCUAAUGUCCUCAACCUCUUUUGUGCAGGAUAUCAAGUGAAUUGUUACUACUACAGUUAUGAUGAUGAUGAUGAAUAAUUACCCUCUCCCUUGCUAUGGGGAUUGGCUUCCAAUCAUGUACUGGCACCUGGUUGUCCUUUGCCAUUGAUGAUGAUUGGACUUUUGGGCUCAAUUUCUGUCAUUUUAAGCAACAAGAUGGCAACAAAAACGGACAAAACAAAGCUAGAACAAUACUUGCCAGUGUAGUAAUCAGUAUUCUUUGCACAGAAAUAGUUUUUCAGAAUCUUUGGAUUCUUGAGGGUUUUCCUAAUCCAUCAGUCCCCCUACCCCCCAUAUAAAAACAACAACGUCAAUGAGAAAAUUGCCGGAAAGUGAGAAGCUGCCAAGGUUUGGUCACUGGGGGCCCAUCAAUGAAAAAUGCUCUAAAAGAGAUUAGUGUAAUCUCUUGAGAUAAUACCACAAGGUUAUAACCUUCUGGAAUUGGACUUGAUGAACAGUAAAGCUUCUCCCAGUUCUUUUGAGAUAAUAACCAUUACUUAGACAGAAAAAUGACUGAGCACCUUAAUGCUUUAUUCAAUUAUCUCGAUGAUGAGUGUAAAAAGAUUGCUUUCCCCUUGAUGUGUUUUUCAAAUUGCAAUUUGAGUGGCCUUUGAACAAACUAGAAUUGAGAGAACACCUCCAUAUAAAUAAUAGCCAAUCAAUGCAGACAGGUUUAUAGAUUGAUAUAUGUCUUUAGUAUUCACUUCAGAGUGAAGAGGAGAAUAUUUCAAUUUCAGUUCAAAGUGGUUUCUAAUAGAUCAUGCUCUGCUUGUAAUGUCAAGCCUUUUCAGGUAUAUAGGAUUUGGGGGAGCACAGCAGAAGUGAAGCAAGAUAUGUAGGGAGAAAGGGCACUAGUUAAGCAAGUACAGUGUUCAAAUUAAUUUCCAGUUCAUCCUGGUGAAGCCAAUAUUCAAGUCUGAAUUCCACACACAAAUUGUUUCCUCUGUAAUUAGCUGUUUGACACAGAGUAUCUUCUAGUUUCUCUUGAGUGAUGCUUGGGAUUUGGUGGUACCAAGAAGCGCUAAUUGCUUUACUUCCACAUAACAGUAGAUUGCUAAAUCCAUUGGUAUGAUCUUCCUCUUUUGUAAAAUAAUAGCUGUUAAAGUUAAAUAAUAGUUGUUAAAGGCCACCUCAUGAGAAGAGAAGACUCCCUGGAAAAGACCCUGAUGUUGGGAAAGAUGGAGGGCACAAGGAGAAGGGGACGACAGAGGACGAGAUGGUUGGAUAGUGUUCUCGAAGCUACCAGCAUGAGUUUGACCAAACUGCGGGAGGCAGUGGAAGACAGAAGUGCCUGGCGUGCUCUGGUCCAUGGGGUCACGAAGAGUUGAACACGACUAAACGACUAAACAACAACAAAGCUGUUAAAGUAGAUUAGCCAUCAUUCAUAGAUUUGAGUUGGGGUGUGUGUGACAUUUAUCUCAUUCAAGACAUCUUUCUUCCCCCAAGUCUCUCAAGUUCCAAUAAAAAGACAGAGAUAUUCCCGCUGCCCCAUCCAUACAGUGUCUAUUUUCCAAAAGGCACAACAACUCCAUGCUAUGGUUUGUGUGCAUGAGAGGAGCAGUUGCACCUACAGAUUACUGAGCUGUUACUAUAUGCUAGAGAUGUUCAUUGGCUCUGUAUGUGGUCUAAAUACCCUGGCUAUUGACACUUGAACCACCUUGCUUUUGUGAUUGUAAGUUGUUUUGAACACUUCAGUUCAAAUAUAUUGUUUUCUAGAGAGGGUGGGGCAGGGGGACAGGUUACAACUGUGAAGAACCAUAUAUAGAAAAUUGCUAUUGGACCAAAACACUUGAUUAUUUGAAAAACAGGAUUUUGCUAUUGGUAUGUGUGAGAUGGGUAGGUAUUUGUACCCCUGGCCAUAUGGCACUGUGGCAACUCAAUAAUCUUUGUCCAUUGUCUUUUACAUGGUAAUUUCCUUCACACACAGCCUCACAAAAUGUCAUUAUAAUACAGUACCUAUCUAAUUAUGCUGUAGUAUAAUGGUAUUUUGUAAGGCUGUUCGAUAAGCUUUGAGUUUACAUUCAAAGCAAGUCGAUUUCUAAUUCUGGCAUUGAUAAUCUACGGGACAGUGGAGACUAGCUGGAAUGUUAGGAUAAUGGACCAACAGGUUAAAUACACCACAGAACGCCCUGUCACUUCUUUUUGAAAACUAAUAUGCAUUUGCAGUGUGUUUGUAUGAUAGUUCUACCAAGCCUACAUGUUGCGAAAGCAACCUAAACAUUGAUUUGUUCAAAUAAAUACA